rnacentral:lncRNA from 1 species
GUACUUUUUCUUAUUAUUCUUCUUCUUCCAGUGUACCACCACAAAACGGUGAAGAAGCACCUUUCAAGAUCGAACCAGAAUAUAUAGAAGUGACAGAUUCUGAACUGGGAACGAACAAUAAUGUCUCGGUUUUGGCUUAUCCGGCUGAAUUUAGAGGUUUCAUGUUGGACGCUCGUAAGUGUGAUAAGUGUGAGUCUGCUGGCAUGUUUAAUUUGAUUAACCCGGACAACAGCAUACUCAUCUGUGGUGUGAGUCCUGCCCUGCACCCACUACACAUAUUCGUUAUCCAUUUUUACACCAUGUGUUAAAUGUUAUAGCAAUUAAUUCCUUAAACUGAAUUGCACUGUUUAUGAUAUGGAUAUAUUAUCAGGGCCAUGCUGUGGCUCAAAAAAAUAACCAAAGAAAAAGGACAGUUCAAGUGUUGUGGACCCCCGAAGAGACUGGAGUGUUUUUCUUCAGAGCUGUAUUCGUUGAAGAAUACAGUAAGGUUUGGCUAAGGAAGGCAAUCAUAUUCACGUCGACUGCACCACCAACCACUGAAGCCACCAGUCACAGUGCACAAACAAGUCCAACAGAUAUGUCACAGACACAGACUUCACCACCGACCUCUGAAGCCACAAGUACACAAAAAAAAACUACUACAAGC